rnacentral:rRNA from 1 species
GAUGAACGCUGGCGGCGUGCCUAAUACAUGCAAGUCGAGCGGACGGACGCGGAGCUUGCUUCUCUGAUGUUAGCGGCGGACGGGUGAGUCACGCGUGGAUACCCUACCUAUAAGACUGGGAUAACUUCGGGACACCGGAGCUAAUACCGGAUAAUAUUUUGAACCGCAUGGUUCAAAAGUGAAAGACGGUCUUGCUGUCACUUAUAGAUGGAUCCGCGCUGCAUUAGAUAGUUGGUAAGGUAACGGCUUACCAAGGCAACGAUGCAUAGCCGACCUGAGAGGGUGAUCGGCCACACGGGAACUGAGACACGGUCCAGACUACUACGGGAGGCAGCAGUAGGGAAUCUUCCGCAAUGGGCGAGAGCCUGACGGAGCAACGCCGCGUGAGUGAUGAAGGCGUUCGGAUCGUAAAACUCUGUUAUGAGGGAAGAACAUAUGUGGAAGUAACUGUGCACAUCGUGACGGUACCUAAUCAGAAAGCCACGGCUAACUACGUG